rnacentral:rRNA from 1 species
AGAUUCCUCGAGUAACGGCGAGUGAAAGGGGAGAAGCUCAGCGUGUAGCCUCGGGGAUGCCCUCCAAGUGAGUGUGUUAAUCCUACGAUGGGAUGCCACGUAUGGGAGAAUGCUUGAAGAGUCUGCGACCCGGCAAUCCGAACUGUUUGAUGAAACAUUGCCCAGAGAGGGUGUUAGGCCCGUAGGACCGUUGCGUCGUGACUUUUCGCGGCUUUCUCUCGAGAGUCGGGUUGUUUGAGAAUACAGCCUUAAGAGGUGGGAAACUCCAUCUAAAGCUAAAUAUUACUGCGAGACCGAUAGCGAACAAGUACCGUGAGGGAAAGUUGAAAAGGACUCUGAAGAGAGGGUUCAAGAGAGCGUGAAACUGCCACGGGGAUAAAGCGGAUACAUUAGCGUAGUCGAAAAGGGAGAUACAGCUCGUUCGCCGUCGACCUCUCGGUUUAAAGCGACGAUCAUAGGGAAUUAUCCCGCGGUUGAUGGUGAUGGUAAUUGCGUUUGAGCGUAAUUUCUCUAUAUCUCCGCGGUUCUUGGUUCCUCUUGACGUUGCCCGAGUACAUGCGUACGUUCACGAACGAGUCUAAUUCACACCUCAGUAGGCCGUCGCGACGGUUGGAAAGUUGUCUAAGGCUUUGGAAAGGUCGCGGGAACCUUUCGUCGCGAUAGUUAUCGGUGUUAACCUUUAAUGAAACCUCGCAAUGACGAAGGGGAACGCUUUCAGGAAUUUACUGGCGGACUUUCCGACCGGAGAAAUAGACGUUGCGUUCGCGCGGUGUAGGGUAUAUCUCUUACCGCGACGGAGUGAACGUAAGUGCGGCGCUCGUAGCGACCAAUUUAUCCGUCCCGUCUUGAAACACGGACCAAGGAGUCUAACAUGUGCGCGAGUCAAAGAGCUCGCUAAACUCAUAGGCGUAAUGAAAGUAAACUGAUUGAUCCGUGCUACUGUCGUUCGUCAUCCUCGUCCUCUGGUGGUGAGGGUGGUCGUUGUUUGGAUAGUACCGGCGCAAAUCCGGGACCCGGCUUACUGCUUUUCUCGUCUCACGAUGGGAGAUGUUCAUGUGGCGGGUACCUCGAGCGUACAUGUUGGUACCCGAAAGAUGGUGAUCUAUGCUUGGCCGGGAUGAAGCCAGAGGAAAC